CUGAGCGCCCCACCCACCCCUGACCUUCCCAGGCCCCUCCUCUAACCCCGCCUCUUCCCGAGAUGGGACCCCCAAACACUCCCCAGGGGGCUCUCUACACACCCCAGGAGUUCUAUUUGUGCCACCAGAGUGCAGGCUCACCCAACUGGUGACUUUUUUCGAACUCCCUUCCUCGCCUGGAAGAGACCUUCUUUGGCUACCCGCCCCCUGCCCGGUGGCUCCUACGUGGCUACUUUGCAGGAUGGGCUGUAUAAAGGGCUGGAGGCAGUUCAACCCAAACCAGAGACGUGGCGUCUGUUAGGCCUGCCUAAACUCCAGUACCUGACUAAAGUCCAGAGAAUGGAGCAGGGAGGAGCUGAAGAGAGCGUGGCUUCAAGACAUGAAGACAGAGCUGUGGACCACAGUUGGCUUUCCUGGGAACACUCCCUAACUGUGGUCUAUAAGAUGUAACAAGACUAUUACUCAAUUAUUACAAAGAAGAAAAAAAAAAACAGUGCUGGCCUCUUUACAUUGUGUUUUCCUGUAGAUGAGCCUGGCAUAUGUUACAGUAACCAUUCCAUAGUUUAUUUUCCCCUCUGGUUCCCAUGAUUGUCUGACCCUGCCCAUUUUACCACGCCUAUACACUGGCACAGAGAAAGGAAGUUUGAUGUCUCUGUAGCAUUGCUCGGUGCUGCUCCGGUUUUAUGUACUCUGUAGUACUCAGAAGACCCACAGUUGCAGUUACAGGUUACACCAUGAUGUCUAUCAUGGAUGUUGUCACAGAGGAUGGCUUUUAAACUAGAGGGGAUGCAGAUUGCACAGACUUUCAGUGCCUCCUGUGGUCUCUCAGGAUUCACCAAAGCCCCUUUAAGGUUGUUCCUUUGCCCCCCCCCCCCCCGGCCCCCCAACAAAGCUCUCUGGUCUUAAAUGCCCUCUUCCUGAGUGGUGUUAAGGAGACUAGAUGUGUUUUAAAAAGAACACUGUAGGAGCUUAGACUCUCACAUCUUACACCCAUAAGAAGGAGCACAAUUGGAUAUGAUACAAAGUGCAGGUUCUCCAUCCUUAAGGUAAAUUUCUAGGCUGCUAGGAUGUGUGAAAGAGCCUCAAGCACGGCCCUCUCUACAGACUAAUGUCUUAUCUAGGGUCUGGCUUGGCUUCCCAGGGCUGAUCAGAGAAAUGUGACAAUGGACUCUGUCCCUGGUUAUUCCUGAUGGUUGACAUAGACUGAUCUACCUUCACCCACCCCAAGUGAGUUCUGCUUUUCUGUGACCUUUGAAAUUCAACCCACACUAAGAAUCGCAUUCUUUCACUUCAAGGCCACAUCCAAAGAAGGAGCUCAGUUAAGUGUCCAGGCCUCAGCAGUAAAUAUCUUCAGGAUGUACCCAGACACACACUCUAGAAGAUGAGCCUGUGCUCUGUAACAGGGUGGGGUUCACUUUCUAAAGUUUUCUUCUUCCUUGACAUGGUCAGUGACUCUUCAAGCUUCCAUCGGGACAUCACAUUUUACUUAACCUGCAUUUCCAGAAAUUAAAGCAUUCUAGAAAUCUACAAGCGUUUUGGCUCAUCGUGUGUGUGUGUGUGGGGGGGGGGGGUUAGAUUUCUAGAUAUGGUUUUUUGGCAACCUAAUUUCCUUAAGAUAAAACGGGUGCACUCAAAGCAGUUCAAGUUGUCUUUUAGAAAUAUGGAAUGGGAAGAAGAAAAAUGCUAAGUUUAAACGACUCUUGGAAUAUCUUCAGGAAAGGCAUAUGGCUUCUGGCAUGAAGAUAGAGUAUCCUUAGGGUUUCCUCGGAGUUAUUUUCUGACAUUGAGACUCAUAUAUGUCUUGGGUGUUUAUAAGCAAAGAGUAGCUGUACUUAUUUUUAAAAAGAUAUUCUGUACUUAUUAACUAAUGUCUUCUACCUUCCUCUGUCUUUGAGAAAUGGAGCCUUGAGGUGACAUGAAUACUUCCAGAAGUACAUCUAAGAAUUGUAUUUAGAUUUUGAAGCACCGUUUUCCUGCCUUUCGUUUAUUUCAAUAUUUACCAACUAAAUUUAGCAUAAUGACAUUGAAUUCAAUAAAAU
ensembl:lncRNA